rnacentral:pre_miRNA from 1 species
UUUUAUAAAUGAGCAAAGAAAGUGGUUUCUUGAGAUGGAAUCUACAACUCGUGAAGAUACUGUGAA